UCUUCCAACAUUCCCUUUCUCCCUCUUCACAUAAAAUUAGAGUUUUAUGAUAAAACAAACAAAAAUCUUUAUUCUCUUCCAUACCAGAUUUCAUUAUUAUCCUACCACUCCUUCGACGCAAUUGAAUUUCAUCACUCCUUCAAAUCCAUGUCAUUACCAAACCUCCCCAAACAUUUCCCUUAAAACUCACAUAUAUUAUCACGAUCAUUUGCAUUCAUACAACAUUUCUUCCAUUCAACGUACAAUCUUGCACCAAAUUGAAAUUCUCCAGAUUUUGCGACAACUCUCACACUGCACUUCCUUAUAGUAACAUUUAUCCCCAACAACCUUUUUCUUCUUCUUUAAUAAUUUUGAUAUACACAACGUAUAUUACUUUGCUUUCUAUUUUGAUAUCUCUUUGCAAAAACACCACCAUGAAGACAAACCCACCCCAUCCCUUUUCACAUUUCAAUUUCUAUCUGCAACUUCGUCAUUGAAAGAUGAUGGUCGGAAGUGUAACCAAGGUCGUCCUGGUAGAUGGAGGUCAUUUGAGAUGGGUGGCGGCGGUGGUGGUUGUAGAUGGAGUUGAUGUUGAUGAUGAUAAAGAAGAGAGAGAGAGUAGCAGGUGAAGAAGGCAGAAGAAAAGAAGAACAUAUGGUGUUUUAGAGGUAAAACGACAAAACACCACGUGAAGCAAACGAAGAGUUGCAAACGGAGUUUGGAAGAGGGGCGUGUGAUGAAGCAAAAGGUCACCACAUGGUGAUGAAAUAAUGAAAAAAAUGACAAGGUAAAAAAUUGAUAAAACAACAAAUCACAUGGUGAUCUAAUAAAAUUUUCUCUUAUAUUUA